GGAGUGGGCAGGGCGGCCGCGGACAGGCCUCCUGUCCGAGGAAAGUCCGAGCUCCACAGGGCAGGGUGCUGGGUAACACCCAGUGGGAGCGAUCCCAAGGAAAGCGCCACAGAGAGGGAAACCGCCCAAGGGACCCCUCGGGGUCCCCGGCAAGGGUGAAAAGGUGAGGUAAGAGCUCACCAGUGUCCCCGGUGACGGGGACAGCUUGGCAAGCCCCACCCGGAGCGAGACCGAGUAGGAGAGGAGAAGCGGCCCGCUUCGCUACGACUCUCGGGUAGGUCGCUCGAGGCGGAGGGGAACCUCCGUCCCAGAUGAAUGGUCGCCGCGGAAGGACUCCUUCCGACAGAACUCGGCUUACGGCCCACUCCCGUA
rnacentral:RNase_P_RNA from 1 species